rnacentral:tRNA from 1 species
AGUUUUAUAUUCAAUAAUGAUUUUGAAUUGCAAAUUUGAAGGUGUAAUGAUAUUACUAAGGCUU